rnacentral:tRNA from 1 species
GCCACGGUGGGCCAGCGGUUAGAACGCUGGCCUUGUAAUCCUGGGGUCUCGGGUUCGAUUCCCGGCGGUGCCC